rnacentral:lncRNA from 1 species
GGAGCCCAAUGCGUGGCUUGAACUCACGACCCUGAGAUCAAGACCGGAGCUGAGAUCAAGAGUCAGACGGUUAACCGACUGAGCCACCCAGGCCUCCCCCCCCCCCUCCAUGUGAGACCUUUUGAGUCUGGCUUCCUCCACUUAGAGAAACGCAUUUGAGACACGCCCACGUUGCUAAUCUCUGUUACCAAUUCUCAAGGCGACCUAUUGUAUAUUCUUCCCUCCUUUGUCCUAACAUUUUCAGAAGUCGCUUUCUUUAUUUUUCUGGGCAACCUGUGAAGUGCUGACACACAAAUUUCUCUGUUUCACGGAGACAGGAUUGGAUUCAGACCGGUUUUCUAAAGACAUAAGAGAGGAUUAAGAGACGUUUCGACACCUACCGAAGGGUUUUGGGAAGAACGGAGACUCCACCCUGAGUGAACCAAAAGUUGACGCUUGACCAGAAAAACUAAAAGAUAAGUAGCAAGCCAAAAAAACGAUACUGGAGGCUGACGAAAGCUAAGAGAUGUCAAGCAGAAAAGAAUGAGAUAAGUUAAAAUCAGUAAUUACUUGAAUUUAUGAAAAACUUGACGGCCAUACUACCACUUUGUGUACAAG